UGGGCGCGGAGGCCGCGCCCGCUAGGAGCCCCGGGCGGCGGCAGGUGUUGCGGGUGGGGCGACCCCGAGGUGCGACCUCGGCGUGGCUGGCGGUUGGUCCGGGCGAGGAGCCCGCAGCCUGGGCGUCAGCGUGGUCAGGGCCGUCGUGGCUCCCGCCGCGGGCCUCGGCGCAGAGAUCCUAAGGCCGCGGCGCCGUCCCGGUCCCGCCAGUGGUGCCACCCGGCUGCCUCGCCGUGGUGUGCCGUGGUCGCCACCGGGCCCGACACGCGGCCGUAGCCCCGUCUGGAGAGCCGGGCGGUGCCAGCCAAGCCCCGCGGGUGGGGCCUGUUCCUCUGCCCGCAGCAGCCGGCCCGGGUUCCGGCCACCGCGGCCCCUCACCGCCUCCUGGCGCCUUCCCCGUGGCCCCUGCAUGCGCUUCUGCGGGCGCCUCCUUCUCGGCACCUGCUCGGCUGCUUCUCCCUGCGUCCCCCACCUGGCUCCCGCGUGAGCCCAGGCAGCGCCCCAGUCGGGCCGCCCCCGCCAGCCCUAGCUGUGCGCCCUGCGUCCCCGGUACUGAUCCAGCUUUGCGGAGGAGGCUCCGCCUCCUGCCUCCAGCUGGGCCAGAAGCUCUGGGGCCCUUCCCGAGCACUCGGGAGCCACCUGUGCACAUCUUCUCAGUCCCCACGGCCCCGGUGCAGGCCUGCCAAGAGAAGGAUCCCCGCGGAAACGUCUCGACUGACUCAGUCCCUUUCUGCACACCUGCUCUUCCCUGGGCGCGCUCUCGCCUUACUUAUUCCUGUGUGGUUCAGGCGCUGCGGAAGGAGAAGGCACCUAGACUGCACUGGGAAGGCUCCUGGAGUUGACCUGGAGCGCCAGGAAAGGUAUAUUUCCACACUGCUCGUAAAUUUUCUGCGCGGUCCCCAGAGCGCCCCCCAUGAGGCACCUGCAUCAGCUCCGGGCAGAGCAGAUGUGGAUGCCACCGCCUAGAAGCCGGGGCUACCCUGCGGACUGGGACUGUCCCAUAAGGAUACUGAGCUAAGGAUAAUGCAGAAUAACCGUUGAAAGUACCCAAGACCAGAGCUUGGAAGCAGAGCGGAAUAUGGAUCAGAGGGAGACAGGAGUCAGGGCCCUGCAGUUGGAGGCAGGUACAGCAAUCAGAUGUGGGGGUGGGUACAAUGACCAUGAGUCUCUAAUGGUGAUGGGGUGGAGGGGCAGAGGAGAAAGCUGUUUAGGAGGCUGAAUCCACAGGGCUUUGUCCCCAUGUCAUCUUGGUCAGAGUCUCGGAAUCUCCUGCCCACACCCCCUUCACUGUCCUCUCUGCACGCCCCUUUUGAAUCCACUGCACAUCACUUGAGGCCCUAGAUCCAGCCUGUACAAUUCUCAGGUUUGUUUUGUGCAAUUCUGGGCUCCCAGCUAGACUGCAAGCUGCCCAGUGCUGGGCUGAUUCUUAUAACAGAAAUCAUUUCUCAAUUUAGGAUGUGGAGAUAGAGCUGUGUUUUCUAAACAACGGGCUUCACAUUCCCAUAAACCUAAACAGCAGAUUUUAGCCAUUCCAAGGGCCUCUGCCCACGCUUCAGUUCAGCAACAACCACCGUGAGCUGCUCUGUGCUGUGCCCUGAACCAGAGAUGGAGCAGACAAGCCCCCUGCCCCUGAGCAGCCCCCACAGCAACAGGGGUGACAGCUGGUGAACACGGCAAUUUCCCAAAGCAAAAUGAAAGCUGUGCUCCCAGAGGAGCCAGCAAAGUGGCUGUAAGGGCAGAGGAGCGGGGAAGUGGGAGCAGACCACAUGAGUGGAAUCCAGAACAUUAGGACUGGAAGGGAACUGAGGUGGGGUAGGUUUCUUGGAGAAAGUAGUGUCAAAACAAGGGUUUUCCCUAGCCACCUGGCAACUCUGUGAUCUUAACCUCUCUCAGGCUCAGUGUCUUAUCAAGAAAAGGGGGCUAAUGAUCAUAGAACUGUUAAGCGUAUUCAGUGAGAAUGUAUAUAGAGCACUUAGCACAAUCACUGGCUUACAGUAAGCAGUCAAUAAAUAUGAGCUAGUUAUUGCAUCAUUCAAGGCCCCAGCAGACACCAAAUUUUCCUUCCUCAUUUAGCAUUUCUAUCACAGGACUGUGAUUAUAUAUAUAUAUAUUUAUUUACUUAUUAUUUAUUUUUUGAGAUGGAGUUUCUCUUUUCUUGCAGGCUGGAGUUCAAUGGCGCAAUCUUGGCUCACUGCAACCUCCGUCUCCCAGGUUUAAGCAAUUCUCCUGCCUCAGCCUCCCGAGUAGCUGGGAUUACAGGUGCCCACCACCACACCUGGCUAAUUUUUGUAUUUUUAGUAGAGACGGGGUUUCACCACAUUGACCAAGCUGGUCUUGAACUCCUGACCUCAGGUGAUCCACCCGCCUCAGCCUCCCAAAGUGCUGGGAUUACAGGAAUAAGCCACCACACCCGGCCCAGGACUGUGAUUAUACUUUAACCCUUUUCCUAGCAUCUUGUUAUUUCCUACAUGGUCUUGUGUACAGGCAUUUGUUGAAUGGAAAUGCACUUUUUUUUAGCCAGGCAUGGUAGCAUGUGCCUGUAACUCCAGCUACUCAGGAGGCUGAGGCAGGAGAAUAGUUUGAGCUUGGGAGGCGGAGGUUGCGGUCAGCCCAGAUUGCGCCACUGCACUCCAGUGGGCAACAGAAUGAGUCCCUAUCUCAAAAAAAAAAAAAAAAAAGAAAAAAAAAAAAAGAAAAAAAAAGAAAUGCACUUUUCGUUGGUGCCGCUGCCAGCUGAACUUUGCCACAAAACCCCAGAAAACCUUAAUUACUUGGUAAGAUUCUGGACCAUAACCCACAAUCUGGGAAGAUGGAGGUCAAGCUGGUCUCACAUGCUUCUGCUGCCAAGAGGCCUAGAAGGGGAAGCAAAUUAGGGUGAAAACACUAUCCUAUACAAAGUCCUGGCAGCCUGAAGUUCCCCAGUUCCAUGGAGAACAGAGUAAGCACUUCCUUCAGAAUCCAUUAGGCUCCAAAUUCCUUUUAAUCUGGGUAUUUGGCCUUAACAGCUUUGGCAAACAUGCAUCGAUCUCACCAAAUGCCUAUGUCCUAAGGAAUGCGGCCUAAUGACCAAGAACACAGGUGGCAUGAGUCUUAGCCCCUUUACCUCCGAAGCCUCUAGCCCUUUUCUUCUUAUUACUAAGUUAACAUUUGGCUGCUCUAUUAUAAAGCCAACUGACUAGAGGCUGGAGGAAAUAGAAGUGCCAGACUUGAACAGGGAGUCGAGGACUGGAUUCAAGGUUCACUUCUGUCAUUUAUUCAUUUUGUGAGCUCAGGGAAAUCACUUUCUCUUGUACUUUCCCAUCCCAGUUUCUCCAUCUGUAAAACAAAGGAGCUAGAUAUGAUGACCGAUUUUGCUUCCACCUCUGAAAUUCUACCAUUUAACCAGAAAUUUCAGCAUACUGUGACAUAGUGUGACAAACUGGUCCCAUUCUGAGAACCCAGGAUCUCCAUGAUUUCUAGUAUCUUUUUACAUAAUACUAUUUGUUUAAUCAUGUAAGUAGGACAGAUAUCCUACAUGUUCAUGUUAAUAGCUUGUCUUUUUUUUUGAGACAGGGUCUCGCUGUGUCACCCAGGCUGGGGUGCAGUGGUGCAAUCGUGGCUCACUGUAGCCUUGACUUCCCAGGCUCAAGUGAUCCUCCCACCUUAAGUUCCCUAGUAGUUGCGGCUAUAGGCAUGUGCCACCAUGCCUAAUUGUUUCUUUAGUUUUAGUAGAUACAAGGUCUUACUAUGUUUCCCAGGCUGGUCUCCAACUCCUGAACUCAAGUGAUCCUCCUGCCUUGGCCUCCCAUAGUGCUGGGAUUAUGGGCGUGAGCCACCAUGCCCAGCCAUAUUAAACAAAAUUAACAAGGAUGAAAUAAAACAAGAUCUAUUAAGCUCUAUAAUUUAUCCAUCAAGAUAUUUUGAUUUGCGGAAUGCAUUUAAGUACCUACAACAUGAUUAUACCCCAGGGUAACAUUUAUAGAUAAGGUAAUAGUUGAAAAGAAAAUCAGGAAAUACAAAAUAUUUGUUACUGCAAGCAAUUUUAAUACAAAA